rnacentral:rRNA from 1 species
UUUUCUGCCACCGAAUACAUUAGCAUGGGAUAAUGGAAUAGGACCCUGUCCUCCUAUUUUCAGUUGGUUUUGGCAGCGCGAGGACUAGGGUAAUGAUUAAUAGGGAUAGUUGGGGGCAUUAAUAUUUAAUUGUCAGAGGUGAAAUUCUUGGAUUUAUGAAAGAUUAACUUCUGCGAAAGCAUCUGCCAAGGAUGUUUUCAUUAAUCAAGAACGAAAGUUAGGGGAUCGAAGACGAUCAGAUACCGUCGUAGUCUUAACCAUAAACGAUGCCGACCAGCGAUUAGGAGACGUUGAAUACAAAACACCACCAUCGGUGCGGUCGUCCUUGGCGCGUCGCGGCUUGCCGCGGCGUGCGAGGGCGGUUUAGCCUGAUGGCAUCGGUGAAUGACUCCCCUACAGCUUGUGAGA